rnacentral:rRNA from 1 species
GACGAACGCUGGCGGCGUGCUUAACACAUGCAAGUCGAACGGUGAAAGCGGAGCUUGCUCCGCUGGAUCAGUGGCGAACGGGUGAGUAACACGUGGGCAACCUGCCCCAGACUUCGGGAUAACUCCUCGAAAGAGGUGCUAAUACCGGAUACGAAGCCCCCAGGCAUCUGGGGGCUUGGAAAGUUUUUCGGUCUGGGAUGGGCCCGCGGCCUAUCAGCUUGGUGGUGAGGUAACGGCUCACCAAGGCGACGACGGGUAGCCGGCCUGAGAGGGCGACCGGCCACACUGGGACUGAGACACGGCCCAGACUCCUACGGGAGGCAGCAGUGGGGAAAAUUGCGCAAUGGGCGAAAGCCUGACGCAGCAACGCCGCGUGAGGGAUGACGGCCUUCGGGUUGUAAACCUCUUUCAGCAGGGAAGAAGCGAAAGUGACGGUACCUGCAGAAGAAGCACCGGCUAACUACGUGCCAGCCGCCGCGGUAA